CUCAGGAUGAACGCUAGCGGCAGGCCUAACACAUGCAAGUCGCGGGGCAGCACGGGUAGCAAUACCUGGUGGCGACCGGCGCACGGGUGCGUAACGCGUAUGCAACCUGCCCCCAUCAGGGGAAUAGCCCGCCGAAAGGCGGAUUAAUGCCCCAUAGGCCCAGGGCGCCGCAUGGCGCUAUGGGUAAAGCUCCGGCGGAUGGGGAUGGGCAUGCGUGCCAUUAGCUAGUUGGGGCGGUAACGGCGCACCAAGGCGACGAUGGCUAGGGGGUCUGAGAGGAUGGUCCCCCACACUGGUACUGAGACACGGACCAGACUCCUACGGGAGGCAGCAGUGAGGAAUAUUGGUCAAUGGGCGGAAGCCUGAACCAGCCAUGCCGCGUGCAGGAUGACGGCCCUACGGGUUGUAAACUGCUUUUCCCCGGGAAGAAUAAGCCCCUCGUGAGGAGUGAUGCCGGUACCGGGGGAAUAAGGAUCGGCUAACUCCGUGCCAGCCGCCGC
rnacentral:rRNA from 1 species